rnacentral:lncRNA from 1 species
UUUUUGGUGAUGAUGGAGAGUCGCUGUAGGUUCACUGACUACAGUAACAAAUGCCCCGCUCUGCCGGGGAUGCUGACGGACGAGAAGAGGCUGCGCGUGGCAGGGAAGGGCAUACAGGAAAUCUCUGGUCUCGGCUCAAUUUUGCGAUGACUCUAGAAGCUGCUCUAAAAAACAAAGUCCGAAAAAAAAUUUUUUUAAUAUAAAUAAAUAAAUAAAAAUAAAAAAAUAAUAAAUAAUAAAAAUAAUAAAAAUAAAAAACAAAGCCCGUUGAAAGAAAAAAAUCAGAAACGUGGGGAUAAAAAAUUAAAAGAGAAACUUAAAAUCCAAUAGAAAGGGUUUAAAAGGCAGCCUGGCAUAGCGUACACGCUAGAACAGCCGAAGACCAGAUACUAAACAGGAGACACGGGUAGCUGGAGAACCGGUCCCAGAGCCUAACAACCAAACAAACGCUCCUCUGGAAAGAGACAAGGAGAAGGUGAAAGCAAAGAAAUUAAAGGAUUAACUCAAAUAUACGUCCCGGGCCCGAAGGACGUGGGUUUCCCAGCUGGAAGGGACUCGCGCUGUACCCCGCGCAAUAGAUGGAGACGCCCUCCCCCCAACAAGGCACGUCUUCAAGAGACCUUCAAACACAUACAGAGAAUAUCCCAGAAGCUUCUAGACAAGAAAAACAAAAAAAGAGAAUCAAGAAUCGAAUUAGAAAAAAAAAAAAAGAUCGAAUUAGGUCCAUCCUCAACCCCGCUCUGCCUAAAGGCGGCGGCAGCCUUUGGGCCUUGGGGCUCAAGGAUCUCCAGUUAGGAGUCUGUGCUCGGACGAGCGGAUCUGCGGGACAAUAAGGAUGUUUCCAGACACACGAGGUCUCCAGAAUCUGCAGGACCCUGUUUGGGGGAGCCCAGCGUGGAACGUUCUCCAUCCCACUGGGGGAACAAAGCGGGAGGGUCACGGGAUCCUAGACGGGCCGCGGGCGCCCUCAGGUUCACGGGGAAGGCAGGCCGCGGGGGCAGGGCGUGGGCAGGGCGUGCUAGGAACGGCAGCCAGGGCCCACGCAGACGGUGUGGAGUGGCGGACAGGACAGCGAGCGCGGGGCCCUCCCACUCGGGGCGCCCCUGAGCCCCAGCAGCGCAAGUGCAGGGCGGCCACGGACAGAGGCCAACCCCUCGCUUCCACGCGCAGAAGUCAAAGAACCCAUACGAGAAACGGGGGACACCUGCUUAGAAAAUACGGGUCAACAGGGCAGGAAAGAGGAAGCCCGAGAGGCCCGUUGCUUCCGGGGAGCCGGCCGUCGAAUCCGCGUACAUCCUUCCAAUCACAGAAUAGAACCAAUCUCACAAGGGUCCGCCCCGGGGGAAGGCUGCAAAGGGAGGGACCCCGCGUGGCGGCGGGCCAGGGGGGCAGGGGACAGAGCCUGCCCUACAGAGCCUGUCUGUGCCCACGGCAGCCCCGCAGGCCCAGGGUGGGGAGAUGGUCCAGCUGGGGCGCACGGAGCCCCAUCCGCCCUUAUCCUUCCCCCAAAGCUCCCACACAACACUGGGGAGACGUGGGCCGAGGUCUCACCUUCAUGUUUCUCUAGAAACAUCCUAACCAGGUUUCCAUGCAGUCACAGAAUUUGGGGGAAGAGAGGACAGCAUCCUUGGAGAAGCAGCCUGAAGGCUCCUAGGGAACCCAGCUGGGCCAGGCAGGGCCACAGAGGACACAGAGCGGGCCCUGCACACCACUCAGCUCAACCUCCCGCCUGGUGGCAAGAUUCCAAGCAGGGGCCCAGGGCUGGAGCAAGGUGCGUCCUCAAACCAGGGGAGUCCUGGUCCUACAAGCCCCAGUUCGGAGCAGCUUUCCAGUCACCGCGAGCUUGGUGACGCAGGCGUUCCUAAAACGACCACCGUCAGAUACGUGAUCUGAGAAAAGUUCUCACGCCAAGGGGAGUUCUCAACUCAUCAAUGGCGGGAAGACUCCCAGGGAUGACAGCUAAAAAAUAAAUAAACAAGCAAACCAAAGGCCCAGCUCAUCGGAGAAGUGAGUGUCCGCGGGGUCCCAUGUGGGAUCCAGGUGACUUGUGGUCAGUAGCCCUGGAUGUCCUCCCUGGUGGCUCCCGUGUGACAAGACAAAAAAAAGGCACGCGGGGGCCCUUCGGGCACCCCUCACAGUUCUGUAUUUUCAGAGCCCACGCCCCCCCCCACCAGGGUGGUGUGCCUGAAAGUUCCGGACAGGCCCAGAUGGAGCACGGUCACCUCAGGCUUCUACUUGCGGUGACAAAGACAUGGGAAGGUCCCAGCUGCCAGCCUUGCUUCCAGGGGACAGCAAAGACUCAACAUUGAGGGCCAGCACACAUCCAGGUCUUCCAGGCCCACGCUCUCAGAGCUCACGUUACUCGCAAGACUACAGCUGCCGGGGUCUGGGCCCAUCGACCCGGCUCAAAAACCCAGCCAGGACUCAGGGAGAUGAGGGCGCCACCAGCAUGGCCCUGGGCAGUGCACAGAGCCCCUUCCCAGGGCCAUGGUCAGCCCACCAGGACCAAGGGUCCACGCUCACUUCAUCCCAGCCAGCCUGUGCCUCUGAGAGAGACUCCGGGCACCAACCGACCUCAGGGACCUGAAAAUAGAUGCCACCAGGCCCCACAUGCCUGAGACCAGGGGUGUCCCUGCAUAUGAUGGUGCAGCCCAUCUGAGCCCGCGCGUCUCCACAGUCGGCACCAUCUCCAUGGUUUCCACUAUCUCCAAGGUCUCCACGGUCUGCACCGCCUCCACGGUCUCCACCUGUCUCCACCGUCUUCACCCGUCUCCACUGGUCUCCACUGGUCUCCACGGUCUGCACCGUCUCCACCGUCUCCACCCAUCUCCACCAUCUGCACCUGUCUCCACUGUCUCCAAGGUCUCCACUGCCUCCACCCAUCUCUACCAUCUGCACCCGUCUCUACCAUCUCCACGGUCUCCACUGUCUCCAAGGUCUCCACGGUCUCCACCCAUCUCCACCGUCUGCAUCCGACUCCACGGACGGUCUCCACCGUCUCUACCGUCUCCAAGGUCUCCACAAUCUUCACCCAUCUCCGCCAUCUCCACAGUCUCCAUCCAUCUCCAGUCUCCACCAUCUCCAAGGUCUCCACAGUCUUCACCCAUCUCUACCGGUCUCCACCGUCUCCACUGUCUCAUUCCAGAUCACAGGGGACCAGCUGUUGAUGCCCUCAGCUAUCAUCUGGGCCAAUGGCUUUGCCCCCAGGGAAUGUGGACCGUCCACCACCCAUCUUUACUCUUGGACUCCCACCGGUGAGGAGCUCCAGCCUUCGCGCUACGGGGAGGCCACAGAAGGAUUCGUACGGGGCCUGGUGCUCAAAGCAGGCUACGGUCAGGUGAGCAGGUGUGCUAGGGCGCAUAGGCACGGAGCACUGGCAGGCAAAGGGAUGCGAGGCGGAGUCCUCCUCCUAGCAGACAUUGCGGAUUAACAGCAGGAUAAUCAAGCACGCAAGCCGCUCAAAGUCCAGGCCGAGUGUGCCCACAAGCGGUGCGUCCGAGCGCUCGCCAAGUGCCACACGCCACACAGGAGCCACACGACUCCCACAGCCCUGGCUGGUAAACACACCUCUGACACUCGUUCGUGGAUGAGCUUGGGUAGCCUGCCUGCUAUGGCUCGCGACACCGACAGCAGCGAAACAGGAGAUCCGGGGGUCAAACUGGGGCAGCAGGCCUCCUGCAAACGUCAGCUCAAGCCACUUCCCUGCGCUGAGCAGAAAAGGAGCGGAUUCCUCCCCGGCACCUGUUCCCAAAGACGAUGCCAGAACACGCCAUCCACUCUGCUGCCCCAGCCCAAGUCCAUCCUCAGGCUGAGGAUCUCACACUCAAGCAAACUCCACGUCAAGUCCACAUUUAAAUUCAACGGUUGACAAACAGGAAUGACACCCCAGUUUCCCCAGCGGCAUCCAGCGGUGAUGAACCAACCAACCUCACGUCCCAUGUCCCGGGCAGGCGUCCCAUCUCCACCUGGACACAGGGCUGUCUCCGCCAGGGCACAGGCAGAAAGGGAGAUCCCGUCAGAGCCAGUGAACCCCCAAAGCAGAGUCAGAACUGCUCGUUCCUGCGAUGACCGUCCAUGAGGCCGGGGCAGGGCCGUCCGGGCUGCCAUCUCCAAGGACACUCACACGGUGUCCCUUCCCGUCAUUAGAGGGGAGCAGUCAGCCUUCGAGGAGCUGGCAGUUUUAUGCUUCCCCUGCUUUCACCUCCUUCCAGUUAACUGUGAUGCCCAGGAGCAGGGACAAGUUCAGAAGCUCCUCAAAGCCAGGGCGGGCAGUGGGGGCAAGGGUGUCCCCGCCAGAGGCCAGACAGGGAGAAGACAGGGGAGCACACAGCUCCCCAGAAGAGGGCGGCUAAAACGCAAACACAGGCCAGCCGCCCGCCAGCACCCGAAUGGGUGAGAUGUACUCCCCCCGUGAGCGCACAGACCUCCUACAAGAUUGCCAGAUCCCCGGGAGCCUGCCUGCCAAGCCUCGCCCACCAAGGAGCUCUACUAUCUUUAAUUUCUUCUAUCGUUCCCCAUAAUUCUACAGUUGAGCAAAAAAAAAAAAAAAAAAAAAAA